rnacentral:rRNA from 1 species
UACGAAGGGGGCUAGCGUUGUUCGGAAUCACUGGGCGUAAAGCGCACGCAGGCGGAUCGAUAAGUCGGGGGUGAAAGCCCGGGGCUCAACCUCGGAAUUGCCUUCGAUACUGUCGGGCUCGAGUCCGGGAGAGGUGAGUGGAAUUCCUAGUGUAGAGGUGAAAUUCGUAGAUAUUAGGAAGAACACCAGUGGCGAAGGCGGCUCACUGGCCCGGUCCUGACGAUCAGGUGCGAAAGCGUGGGGAGCAAACAGG